AUGAUUGAUAGCCAGCGAUAAAUCCUCUCGCUGGCAAUUGAAAUGCUUGGCCAGUAAAAGUUAUGCCGGGAAUCACCAAUUUUUCAUCUUCCCUCCAAUCUUUUUCCCUGUUCCCUCCUUCAAUUUUAUGCAUUAGAGAGAUUUAUUUUUUCAAAUGCAGAUUGCAAUCUCUCUCGACUUAUGCUUGCGCAUUAGCCCAAAAAUUACUCUCUACCUCGCUUUAUCUCCCUCACUUCUCUCUCUACUCCUAUAAACAAACCAAAAUUCAACUAGCAAAAGGCUAGGGCUUCAAAACCACAUAGAAGAACAAUAUCUAUCUUCUUCUAUCCUUAUAGAUUUUGUUCAAGAUUAUAUGUUGGUUGAUCCUUUUAUCAAUAGAGUUGUUGAGUUCCAUGAUAGGCAUAGAGACAUGAGGCUCGAUGUUGAUAACAUGUCCUAUGAGGAACUAUUGGCAUUGGAAGAACGUAUAGGAAAUGUAAACACAGUCUUGAGUGAAGAAACCAUUUCGGUCCAUAUAAAACAGCGGAAGCACGGGUCUGUAUAUGGACGAUCCUCAUCAAACUUGGAGCCAUGCUGUAUAUGUCAGGUA